UUGCACGCUGGCGGCAUGCUUUACACAUGCAAGUCGAACGGCAGCGCGGGCUUCGGCCUGGCGGCGAGUGGCGAACGGGUGAGUAAUGCAUCGGAACGUGCCCAGUAGUGGGGGAUAGCCCGGCGAAAGCCGGAUUAAUACCGCAUACGACCUGAGGGUGAAAGCGGGGGACCGAAAGGCCUCGCGCUAUUGGAGCGGCCGAUGUCGGAUUAGCUAGUUGGUGGGGUAAAGGCUUACCAAGGCGACGAUCCGUAGCUGGUCUGAGAGGACGACCAGUCACACUGGGACUGAGACACGGGCCAGACUCCUACGGGAGGCAGCAGUGGGGAAUUUUGGACAAUGGGGGCAACCCUGAUCCAGCCAUGCCGCGUGCGGGAAGAAGGCCUUCGGGUUGUAAACCGCUUUUGUUCGGGAAGAAAUCCUCUGGGCUAAUACCCCGGGGGGAUGACGGUACCGGAAGAAUAAGCACCGGCUAACUACGUG
rnacentral:rRNA from 1 species